AAAGUUUUCCAUUUAGUAAUAUUCAUAAUGUCUUAAGGCAAUUUUAUAUGUAAUGAUUUCUCAUAUAGAAAUUUAUAUUCCCGCGUAAAUUCACGUCUUGUGUAGGAAUUUAAAAUGAUGAACUCUGCCUCAUCCAAUCAGCAUUAGACCUGAUUCCUGAUUGUCGCGAAGCAGCCAUCUUAAAGAAGUUAACAAGCCGUUAUUGAGAGCACGCUAAUCAGCCAGCACAUGGAGUUCUGCACUGCGCACCCCUGAAAGUUACGAUUCUGCUGUUUGUGAUCAACAUACUAAAAACAGUCAAGGCAGCAAAGGAAUAAAGAAAUGACUGACUUGGAGAGAACAUUUCUAUGCUCUGCCAUCAAUGAGGUCUUGCCUGACCUUCCAGAGGUGACUAAAGAUAUUUUAGAAGAGACUUUGCAUUCUCUAGGCGUGGAGACUUAUGAGGAUUUCAGGUUUAUAGAGGAAGAUGAUUUGCUAUCAGCGUUGAGGCCAGUUCAAGCCCGAAAAGUCAUUGCUGCUUGGAAACUGAGAUGCCAGACUCUUGAAACUAGCAGCUCAUCUGUUGGUUCAUCAUCAGGACAUCCCACACCCAUGCAGUCUUUUUCACCCAGUAGUUCACAAUCAUUCUCUUCCAGCAGCUCCCAUAGCCUUGAUAUUGACUGGGUGGAUACCUUUCUGAUACAAUGGGAGAAGUUCCCAGAGGAACUGAUGCAGGUAUUGGAGAGAGAAAAACGACCAAGUCCAAGAAUGCAAAGAGAAAUGGUCCGGAUUGUGGUGACUGAGAUGAUGCGAAAAGGUUCUGCCGAAAGUAGAAGGCAUUCUACUGAAGUUGCCAAAAAGAUGGUGUCAAAAUAUCCUAAAUCUCUGCAAGAUGUAAUAGAGGGAGAUGUGGUUGGGCCAGGAUACCAUUCUUUAGUUAAGCAGUUGCAAUAUAGGAUUGAAAAUGUGAAGCGAUCUACAACCCCUAAAAUAAGAAAACGAAAGCAUCGUGUUGAUGAGCCUGACACAGACGAAAUACCUCCAGAGCAGAGAGCAACAAUCCAGGAUACUUACGGGUGCAUUAACUGGGAUGUAAAAUUCAUGCCCCUUGGAGAGACCCCUGAGAGCCAGCAGGAAAAGAAAGAAAACCUGAAGAUGAUGUCUCAGCAUCCUACUGUAAAUCUACAAGAAGUCAAACAUCUAAUGAAAUUGACUUUCUACACACAGCAUAAACAAGUCAACCAGGGGCAAAAUAUAAAAAGCCUUUUGGAAGAGUGACCGUCUUGGUUCAAUGAACUUGGCAUGGCAGUUCACUUCAAGGAACUUACUGGAAUUUGUCUUCAAGAAACGUUCACACGAAAUCUGGAUUUGAAGGGCAAACGACUCUUAAACUACUUAAAUACUGUUGGUGUGAAGAAAAACAAAAAGUUCUUACAGGCAGUGACAAAGUUUGAAGUGAUGAGGGGAGAGCUAAUUGGUUGCUCUGAAGAUGUAAAACAAAUGUUGCUGCUUUUGCUGUCUUACUUUAACGAGAAAGAAGAUGCAGUGUUCUGCUACGUGGAGGACACAUGCCUGGCAAAGGAAGUAGAGAUGAACCACGUUUAUUUGACUCCCACCAUUGUUGUGUGUGGUCAGUCCUGCUUUUCUUCGAAGAGGUUUAUGUUGUGUGCGGAUCGGAACAUUGUACUUGAAAACAUCACCUCUUUCAUCACUGCCUUCUGCUUGAUGUUUGGGAGCUAUUAUUGCUUUAAUAUUCAUUACCCAUCAGAACUGGCAUCAACUCUGGAGUUUUUGCAGAAGUGUUUUUUCUCCAUUAACCCGGAGAAGGGCACCAAAGUCGAGAAGACAAACACCGCCCGUCUUCCCGUCAACCCAAGAGUUCUUACAUUGAUUCAGGAACUUUCAGAUCAUGAGUGGCGUGAUGUCUGAAUAUGGACUAAUGUCAGUCAGUUUUCUGACUUGAGACACACUCAACUUGAAGGACAGUUUCACCUUUUAUGCCCAGUUAUUUCAGAUUAAGAGGCAAGUAAAUGUUUCAAAUAAUAUUGUUAAAGAUGCAUUCAGUUUGUAUACAGCUGCUACAGAACAUUAUUGCUUUUGUGAUUUUUGAGUAGCAUUCCUGUAUCUAAAUUUUACCCACUUGUUUGCAUACCCUGUUCCAGCUCCAAUGAGAGAAUCAUUAAUAUGUCGCAUUCUCUUGAUUGUAUUGUGUAUAGGCAUUUAAAUGUUGCAAUAAUUCUAGUGUCAAGUGAACACUAAUUUAUCUUUAAAAAAUAUGUUUACUUUUUUCAUUACAUAUUUUCAGAAUAUGAAACAAUACAAGAAAGAGUGAUCAUUUAUUUUAAAUAAAGAGAUUGUAUGCAUUAAGUAUAAUGUAUUUUAGCAAAAUGCAAGUAUUUAAGUAAUCGCACAAGAAAAACAGUGAAUGACUGAUGAUCUUGAAAUUAUACUCUAGUCUAUAGGUAAGAAACUAAGUUAGAAAUCCAUAUAAUUUCUAUGUUUUAAUGAUAGAAUGUAUUUUUUUGUGUGAGUGUUUUCAAUAAUUUCCCAUAUGUUUUUCUUUAGC